rnacentral:rRNA from 1 species
CUGUAAACGAUGUCGAUUUGGAGUUUGGGGGCAUGACCCUUGGGCUCCGGAGCUAACGCGUUAAAUCGACCGCUGGGGAGUACGGCCGCAAGGUUAAAACUCAAAUGAAUUGACGGGGGCCCGCACAAGCGGUGGAGCAUGUGGUUUAAUUCGAUGCAACGCGAAGAACCUUACCUGGUCUUGACAUCCAUAGAAUCUUUCAGAGAUGAGAGAGUGCCUUCGGGAGCUAUGAGACAGGUGCUGCAUGGCUGUCGUCAGCUCGUGUUGUGAAAUGUUGGGUUAAGUCCCGCAACGAGCGCAACCCCUAUCCUUUGUUGCCAGCACGUAAUGGUGGGAACUCAAAGGAGACUGCCGUUGAUAAAGCGGAGGAAGGUGGGGACGACGUCAAGUCAUCAUGGCCCUUACGACCAGGGCUACACACGUGCUACAAUGGCGUAUACAAAGGGAUGCGAAGGUGCGAACUGGAGCGGACCUCGCAAAGUACGUCUAAGUCCGGAUUGGAGUCUGCAACUCGACUCCAUGAAGUCGGAAUCGCUAGUAAUCGUGAAUCAGAAUGUCACGGUGAAUACGUUCCCGGGCCUUGUACACACCGCCCGUCACACCAUGGGAGUGGGUUGCACCAGAAGUAGAUAGCUUAACCUUCGGGAGGGCGUUUACCACGGUGUGGUUCAUGACUGGGGUGAAGUCGUAACAAGGUAACCA